UACAUACUCAAUUUUCAUUUUCCUUCAGUACACCGUCUGGGUUUGCGGGGUAUUCUUAGGUUUUCUCCGGCCAAAUAUUUGGCGGCCCAAUCAGCGAAUAGAGGGAGUGGCUGAGAACCAUGACGUUUAGAA